UUACUUGGGCUUGACAUCCCGAGAAUCCCCUGGAAACAGGGAGUGCCUUUCGGGGAACUCGGAGACAGGUGCUGCAUGGCUGCGUCAGCUCGUGUCGUGAGAUGUUGGGUUAAGUCCCGCAACGAGCGCAACCCUUGUCUUUAAUUGCCAGCAUUCAGUUGGGCACUUUAAAGAGACUGCCGGUGUUAAGCCGGAGGAAGGUGGGAUGACGUCAAGUCCUCAUGGCCUUUACGACCAGGGCUACACACGUGCUACAAUGGAUGGUACAAAGAGCAGCGAUCUCGCGAGAGGGAGCAAAUCUCAAAAACCCAUCCUCAGUUCGGAUUGGAGUCUGCAACUCGACUCCAUGAAGUUGGAAUCGCUAGUAAUCGCGGAUCAGCAUGCCGCGGUGAAUACGUUCCCGGGCCUU
rnacentral:rRNA from 1 species